CAACUUGCUCUUGUGGUGAACGUCGUCGUCACUUCCACUUAUAUGCCUCUCUGGACAAUAACAGGACAGAGUGGUUACGAACUAAACAUAUUCACUGAAUAGGACUUUCUCGCUUCGUCUACGUUUUGGAUGAGGUCCUUUCGUCGACAGGAAUUCCAUUUAACUAUAAAGCGGUCUAACAUACGAAUGUACUAUUUGGCUUGCCACCUUCAGCGUGUUUGUUGUUAAUUGUAAGGUGUUAAUAAUUAUAUUAAUCUGUAUGUUAA